rnacentral:rRNA from 1 species
UACGAAGGGGGCUAGCGUUGUUCGGGAUCACUGGGCGUAAAGCGCACGUAGGCGGAUCUUUAAGUCAGGGGUGAAAUCCCGAGGCUCAACCUCGGAACUGCCUUUGAUACUGGGGAUCUCGAGUCCGGGAGAGGUGAGUGGAACUGCGAGUGUAGAGGUGAAAUUCGUAGAUAUACGCAAGAACACCAGUGGCGAAGGCGGCUCACUGGCCCGGAACUGACGCUGAGGUGCGAAAGCGUGGGGAGCAAACAGG